CAUUAGAUGACUGAAAUUAAGUGUUGAUCUCUUAAAUCAAAUAUAGUAUAAAAAUACUUCUAAUGU
rnacentral:tRNA from 1 species